GCGGCGGCGUGUUGUGGGCGCCCCGCUGCGGGUUUGGCCAGGACUUUGCAACAGCCGGCCUGGCAGGCGGGGCUUCGCGAACAGUCGCUAGGUCAUGUCUGACUCUCCGCGACCCCGUGGACUGCAGCCUGCCAGGUUACUCUGUCCAUGGGAUUUUCCAGUUCUUCUCUUUACAUAUCGGAAAGAAGGCAGCAGAGACACCGAAAUGCCAGAUGCAAUUACUGGGUCACUGAUGCCAGCCUAUGACUGUCAUUGAAACAAUGCAAGAGGAAGAAGUCAAGAUCCUAAUACCCUUGUUCCCCAUGGCCAACUCUUGACCGGGAGCCCUCCUCUUAUAGAAGCUCUAGACUCCUCAUGGAGGGGGGCACAGUUUU